UGGCAGGGCUGUGACGGCCUCUAUCGCUGCUAGCACAGUCACGAGCGUCGCCGCCACAUUUCCUACUCGUAGUUUCGCGUGUUUCAUCUCUUCACUGCGUCGCAAAAAAACCUUUCGAGCGAUUGCGAUUUAACGAAUCGAACUCGUCUACAUUGCUCGUCGUUGUUUAGUUUCUAUAGAGCAUCUCUCUCGUACCCUGCCGUUGUCUGGGCGCCGUUCCUUUACUGCUCAAGUACACCUUCGUUAUCGUGAGAGAAAUCCAGGCGGACGUCUCAUAUAAUGCUGAGAACUACGCAACUGAUAUUAUAUUGUCGCAUCACGGUGUUCACAGCAGCUGGUGUGCUCUGCAGUUUUUUGAAGGAAUCAGCCACUACAGAACAUGCAACCGAUGACGAUUCUCCUAGUAACCGUAGGCGUUAUUGUUGCUAUAGCGACGAUCACGA